CAGUUCUGCAUUUUCCAGUUGGUGAGCACUGAGGGUAACCGCUAUAGUCUAGAUCACAUUUCUUCACUGUUCACUUCUCAGGAGACACUGAUUGACUUUGCCUUAACUUCCACGGAUAUCUGGGCCCUGUGGCAUGAUGCUGAGAACCAAACAGUAGUGAAAUACAUCAACUUUGAACAGUAUGGGUCACUUAAUUCUGUCAUCCUACCUCACCCCAAGCAAUUUCAUGCUAAGAAGACAAGAGAGGCCGGGCACCGUGUCUCAUGCCUAUAAUCCUAACACUUUGAGAGGCCGAGGCAGGCAAAUCACUUAAGCUCAGGAGUUCGAGACCAGGCUGGGCAACAUGGUGAAACCCCAUCUCUACUAAAAACACAAAAAAUUAGCUGGGCCUGGUGGCAGGUGCCUAUAAUCCCAGCUACUCGGGAGGCAAGGCUGUAGCAUGAGAAUCGCUUGAACCCAGGAGGCGGAGAUUGCAGUGAACCAACAUUGCUCCACUGCACUCCAGCCUGGGCAACAGAGUAAGACUCUAUCUC
rnacentral:sRNA from 1 species